ACACGGACCAAGGAGUGCAACAAGCGUGCGAGUCUGUGGGUGAAGAAACCAUGCGGCGCAAUGAAAGUGAAGGCAGGCUGUGGUCUGYUUAGGCGAGAGUCUCAGUUUUCAUUGGGGACACAUCGUCGACCGAUCCCAGGUCACGCAGUGGCGGGAUUUGAGUGAGAGCGUGCCUGUUGCGACCCGAAAGAUGGUGAACUAUGCCCGAAUAGGGCGAAGCCAGAGGAAACUCUGGUGGAAGCUCGUAGCGAUUCUGACGUGCAAAUCGAUCGUCAAAUUUGGGUAUAGGGGCGAAAGACUAAUCGAACCAUCUAGUAGCUGGUUCCCUCCGAAGUUUCCCUCAGGAUAGCUGGAGCCCGGUGCAGUUUUAUCAGGUAAAGCGAAUGAUUAGAGGUCUUGGGGUUGAAACAACCUCAACCUAUUCUCAAACUUUAAAUGGGUAAGAAGCUCGGCUUGCUCARGUGAAGUCGGGCAUUGAAUGCCGGGGUUCCUAGUGGGCCUUUUUUGGUAAGCAGAACUGGCGAUGUGGGAUGAACCAAAUGCUGGGUUAAGGUGCCCGAAUCGACGCUCAUCAGAUACCAUGAAAGGUGUUGGUUGAUCUAGACAGCAGGACGGUGGCCAUGGAAGUCGGAAUCCGCUAGGGAGUGUGUAACAACU
rnacentral:rRNA from 1 species